AAAGAAAUAGUGAAAUGAGGAAAAUGUUGUUGAGGUGUGGUGAAAGUAUUGUAUGAACCAAAAUUGUGUUAUUUGAACCCAUAUAAUAUGUGUGCUUGAACCAAAGAGUGUGUGGCGUUAACCAAUAAAUGGUGUGGUCAAUGCAAGAUUGUAGGAUUUUUCCUAAAUUCAAUGAUCAGGACCUACAAGAAGGGGUUGCCAGAGCAUAAGACUCCAAAGGGCAAUGCAUGAGGUUUGCUAUAGCAUGAGG
rnacentral:lncRNA from 1 species